rnacentral:lncRNA from 1 species
GCCCUGACAGCGAGCCGGAGGAGCCGUACCUUCUAAGGUCAUCUUUGCUCACCUACUCAUCAAAAAUCCAGCCCUGUUAUUUAAAAUCCGAUUUCCUGGGAGUCUUCACGUGGGACCUUUGGGAUGGAGGAGGUGGGUUUGACCGCAAAGGGCGGAAGUGGGCGGGACAAGGAGGCAGGUUUCCAGGGAAGAGACAGUAAAGCUUGUGGAGGAGGACCUUGUGAUUUGGACAAGAGAUCUUUUCCACGAGAUGCACAGGAAACAAAGUAAUAGCUUUUUCUCGGCUGCUUUUGCUUUGAAAAGACCAUUGAAGGCUGCUGAAAAUCCUUGUUUACAGGAUAUGUUACUCCAAGAACAUUUGUUUGGGUGUGUUUGGGAGGGAGAUCCUUGUAAAAUGAAUUAUACAUUUAUUGAAACAUUAAAAACAGCACUGUAGUUUUCCUAUCUCC